rnacentral:lncRNA from 1 species
GACAAAACUCGUUCACUAGGGCCACCUAGGGGUUUAAAGCCUUAUUGCAUAUGGUAAAUGCAAUCGCGAUUGCUGCGAAAGUGAGUUAGUUUUUUUAAUUUUAUUUUGCUUGAGGAUUAGCAAAAUGUAGGUUGGAGGAUGUGAUAAGUGCUAAAUAAUGCAUAAACUAAUAUCUUAUUCAUAGCACUUAUUAUUAUUUUAAUUCAUAUAUUUUGUGAAUUUAACUAAAAAAAAUGUGUUACCUUCAUCAUUGCAUUUUAAUAAAUUAUUAAUGGUAAUUCGAGUUUUACUUAUUGAGUCUAAUGUACACAGGUCGAGUCAAACUCGUUUGGGAUGAUCGCUGUAGCCAAAUCGUAUGCACCCUGCGAUUCAAAUCCUCUCAGAUUUUCGAUUCAGCCGCUCAUCUCAACUCUAUUAUUUCUUUCACAUCCAACUGAGUUCGACUUUUCGUUCAUGUUCUAAUAUUUUGUCUCAAAACUUCCCACUGCAAACUCGUAUCACAUUCAUUAGACUUUAUCCUGGUUGAAACCAGCCAGUCCAGUCAUCCCAUCAUCCACGAAUUAAUUCCCCUGCUUUGCAUCUCGUGCAUGUUCUUUCCGUCCACAUUUUUCUUAUCCUCCCCUUCUUCCAUGUAAUUCUUCCCACACUUCACAGCCUCUUGGAUUAACCCAACCAACCAUGACCGACCUCCCAUCCAAAGAACAAGCCUUCCAUGCUAGUCUUCCCCUGUUCCACAACAUUCAUCUACGAGUCAUCAUCCCAGCUCACGGCUCUUCACUCCUUCCCAGCCAAACCAACCAACCUUCUCCGGAUUCCACGUCCACGAACAGAUCCAGCUCCUCCCAGCCGAGAUCCCAACGUCUCUCCCCUUUUUCACGCAUCUUCAUCUCAUCCUCUUCCCCUAUUCCGAAACAAAGGAAACAACCAUCUGUGAUUUAAGGCCCCUUCCGGAUCAACUCUCGGCCAUCCCGCUCGAUGGACGAAGCUCACGCAUAUCCCCCUGCGUCCAGCUCUUAUCCACGAGUUCCUCCCAACCGGGAACAUCAUCCCGUUCGGAUUGGCCCCAAGCUUCAUGGCAUAGAACUAGAUCCCAACUUCUUUCGCUAGAUCACAGCAAGGAUGAGCAUUCUGAACGCCCAGAUUUCUUCCCAGCAUCCUAUGAAUUUGGCUUACAUUUCGUUGUGAUCCAUCUUCAUCCAAGUUCAUCCCAACAUCCACGUUUGAUCCCAGCUACAUCUAUCUUCAUCCCGCAUCCAACCGGAUUCCCAACUUCUUCCCAGUACCCCAACUCUUCCGGAUUUCUUCCUAGCUUGCAGCUUUAUCCUCUAUUUCGGAAUAGAGAAUCAGCCAUCCAGCCGAGAUCUUCUCCGCAUAUUCCCACAGUUGCAGCUUUCCUCCCAACCUUCUCCAAGAUCUUGCUCACAGCAUCAAUCUCCUUCCGCAUCCCCUGCUUCGGAACAGAGUCCGAGUCUUCAUCAAUUCAACCAUCCAGCCAUUCCCAAGCUUCCUUUCUUCCAGAUAGCUCUAAAUCCCAGCGAAGCCAGCACCUACACAACGUUCGAGUACUCCGUGAUCCGACUCUAUCCGCAAGUAAGCUUCAUCCUUCCGCAUGAUCCUCCCAUUCGGAACAGCCACAAAACAGGGGAGGGGCAGCCUAUAUAAAGUGGAGUUCUUCUCUUCCGGAGGGGCCAUCUCUCACAGGCCAAGUUCCCACGGGAAGAAGACAAUAGGGANN